rnacentral:rRNA from 1 species
GACGAACGCUGGCGGCGCGCCUAACACAUGCAAGUCGAACGAGCGAGAGGAGGUUUACUUUCUCAAGCGAGUGGCGAACGGGUGAGUAACGCGUGAGGAACCUGCCUCAAAGAGGGGGACAACAGUUGGAAACGACUGCUAAUACCGCAUAAGCCCACGACCCGGCAUCGGGUAGAGGGAAAAGGAGCAAUCCGCUUUGAGAUGGCCUCGCGUCCGAUUAGCUAGUUGGUGAGGUAAUGGCCCACCAAGGCGACGAUCGGUAGCCGGACUGAGAGGUUGAACGGCCACAUUGGGACUGAGACACGGCCCAGACUCCUACGGGAGGCAGCAGUGGGGAAUAUUGCACAAUGGGGGAAACCCUGAUGCAGCGACGCCGCGUGGAGGAAGAAGGUCUUCGGAUUGUAAACUCCUGUUGUUGAGGAAGAUAAUGACGGUACUCAACAAUGAAGUGACGGCUAACUACGUG